rnacentral:tRNA from 1 species
UGGCGUAGCGCGCAAAGCGUCGGCUUGCUAAGCCGAAGGUUCCGGGUUCGAUUCCCGG